rnacentral:rRNA from 1 species
UACGUAGGGUGCAAGCGUUGUCCGGAAUUAUUGGGCGUAAAGAGCUCGUAGGCGGUCUGUCGCGUCGGAUGUGAAAACCCAGGGCUCAACCCUGGGCCUGCUUUCGAUACGGGCAGACUAGAGUUCGGUAGGGGAGACUGGAAUUCCUGGUGUAGCGGUGAAAUGCGCAGAUAUCAGGAGGAACACCGGUGGCGAAGGCGGGUCUCUGGGCCGAAACUGACGCUGAGGAGCGAAAGCGUGGGGAGCAAACAGG